rnacentral:rRNA from 1 species
CACGUAGUUAGCCGGGGCUUCUUAAUCAGGUACCGUCAUCUCCUUCCCUGCUGAUAGAGCUUUACAUACCGAAAUACUUCUUCACUCACGCGGCGUUGCUGCAUCAGGGUUUCCCCCAUUGUGCAAUAUUCCCCACUUCUGCCUCCCGUAGGAGUUUGGGCCGUGUCUCAGUCCCAAUGUGGCCGGUCACCCUCUCAGGUCGGCUACUGAUCGUCGCUUUGGUGGGCCUUACCCCGCCAACUGGCUAAUCAGACGCGGGUCCAUCUUAUACCACCGGAGUUUUUCACACACUACCAUGCGGUACUGUGCGCUUAUGCGGUAUUAGCAGUCAUUUCUAACUGUUAUCCCCCUGUAUAAGGCAGGUUACCCACGCGUUACUCACCCGUCCGCCGCUCAGUCAUGCAGGAUUCCAUCCGAAAACUUCCUCCUGUAUGCUUCGCUCGACUUGCAUGUGUAGCACGCCGCCAGCGUUCAUCCUGACGCCACGGAUCUAAACGUCU